GACAGAGGGUGCAAACGUUGUUCGGAAUUACUGGGCGUAAAGCGCGUGUAGGCGGCUAAGUAAGUCGGGCGUGAAAUCCCACGGCUCAACCGUGGAAGUGCACUCGAAACUGCAUAGCUAGAGUCCUGGAGAGGAAGGUGGAAUGCUUGGUGUAGAGGUGAAAUUCGUAGAUAUCAAGCGGAACACCGGAGGCGAAGGCGGCCUUCUGGACAGUGACUGACGCUGAGACGCGAAAGCGUGGGGAGCAAACAGG
rnacentral:rRNA from 1 species